UGAAUACGAGACGCUAAGGCGUCGAAGUAGUGUAUGUCAUACUUCCAAGAAAAGCUUGCACUGUCAUAGAUAAAAAACGCCUGUACCAUAACCGACACAGGUGGGUAGGUAGAGUAUACUAAGGGGCGCGAGAUAACUCUCUCUAAGGAACUCGGCAAAAUAACUCCGUAACUUCGGGAGAAGGAGUGCCUUAUUAUUAAGGUUGCAAUAACAAGAUCCAAGCAACUGUUUAUCAAAAACACAGGUCUCCGCUAAGUCGUAAGACGAUGUAUGGGGGCUGACGCCUGCCCAGUGCCAGAAGGUUAAAGAAGCUGGUUAGCAUUUGCGAAGCUAGUAACUGAAGCCCUGGUGAACGGCGGCCGUAACAAUAACGGUCCUAAGGUAGCGAAAUUCCUUGUCGGGUAAGUUCCGACCCGCACGAAAGGCGUAAUGAUUUGGAUACUGUCUCGGAGAGGGGCUCGGUGAAAUAGACUUGCCUGUGAAGGUGCGGACUACCUGCACCAGGACAGAAAGACCCUAUGAAGCUUUACUGUAACUUGAAAUUGAAAUUGGACUUUAUUCGCGCAGUAUAGGUGGGAGGCGUUGAUUAUAAUCUUGCGGGAUUAUUGGAGCCAUUAGUGAGAUACCACUCUUGUAAUGUUAGAUUUCUAACUUUGAAUCAUUAUCUGGUCAAAGAACAGUUUCAGGCGGGCAGUUUGACUGGGGCGGUCGCCUCCUAAACGGUAACGGAGGCGUACAAAGGUUUCCUCUGAACGGUUAGAAAUCGUAUCUAGAGUGUAAAGGCAUAAGGAAGCUUGACUGUGAGACCUACAAGUCGAGCAGGGACGAAAGUCGGUCUUAGUGAUCUGACGGUACUGAGUGGAAAGGCCGUCACUCAACGGAUAAAAGUUACUCUAGGAUAACAGGCUGAUCUCCCCCAAGAGUUCACAUCGACGGGGAGGUUUGGCACCUCGAUGUCGGCUCAUCGCAUCCUGGGGCGGUAGUACGUCCCAAGGGUUGGGCUGUUCGCCCAUGAAAGCGGUACGCGAGCUGGGUUCAGAACGUCGUGAGACAGUUCGGUCCAUAUCCGGUGUAGGCGUUAGAAUAUUGAGAGGAGCCUUCUUUAGUACGAGAGGACCGAGAAGGACAUACCUCUGGUGUACCAGUUAUCGUGCCAACGGUAGACGCUGGGUAGCUAUGUAUGGAGUGGAUAACCGCUGAAAGCAUCUAAGUGGGAAGCCCACCUCAAGAUAAG
rnacentral:rRNA from 1 species